UAGGGAAUAUUGGUUAAUGUGCGAAAGCGCGAACCAGCAACGCCGCGUGUGCGAUGAAGGCCUUCGGGUCGUAAAGCACUCUUUGCAGGGAAGAGGAAGGACGGUACCUGCAGAAUAAGUCUCGGCUAACUACGUGCCAGCAGCCGCGGUAAAACGUAGGAGACGAGCGUUAUCCGGAUUUACUGGGCGUAAAGCGCGUGCAGGCGGCAUGGCAAGUUGGAUGUGAAAGCUCCCGGCUUAACUGGGAGAGGUCGUUCAAUACUGCCAGGCUUGAGAAUGGUAGAGGGAAACGGAAUUCCGGGUGUAGUGGUGAAAUGCGUAGAUAUCCGGAGGAACACCAGUGGCGAAAGCGGCUUCCUGGCCCAUUUCUGACGCUCAGACGCGAAAGCUAGGGUAGCAAACG
rnacentral:rRNA from 1 species